rnacentral:tRNA from 1 species
UAUGGCAGAUUAGUGCAAUGGAUUUAAGCUCCAUAUAUAAAGGUUUUCCUUUUGUUAGAAAAUAA